CCUGGAGGUGGCGGAGUGACUCAACGCCGGUGCCCUCCCUGCCCCCAUGCCCGAGUGCUCAGCCCUCCCUUGCCGGGGCUCACCUAAUCCCCGCAGUGGGAGUCGGGGGGCAUCCGCGCAGGCCCAGGGCUAGGGUUGCAGCACGGUCACUUCACACUCGGCAGGCAGCAUGUGCAGCUGAGGCCCCUCUCCGGGCUGCAGACUCCCUCGAGGCGGGCAGCGAGGUCAGCCUGGCAGCCGCUGCCUCUCUCCAGCCCAGAUCUGGCCUCAGGCAGCCGGUUCCCGGACCCGAGGAAGUGAUGGCGGAACAGGAAGCCAGUGGGUUGCAGGUCCUGCUGCAAACACUCCAGAGUCUGAACCACCUUUAAGCAGUCGCUCUUGGCCCUCAAUACCAAAAUUAGACAACUGACCUCUUAGCACGAGGGUCUUCUCUUCACCUCAGUCUGACAUCACUGAAUGCCACAGGGUCAUAAACUUGGAAGGAACCUGAGAAAUCAUCUCUUCUUAUUCACUUAGUUGAAGCAUGAGGAAAACAAGUAAAGGCCACAGAAGGUAACUGCUUUAUCUAAAGUCAAUGGAAAAAUUGCAUUAGAACUAGGUUUACCGCCUCCAAGUCUGAUCUUUUGUCUGUUCUCUACCAUGUCAUUUGUAAGAAAUCUAUAAAAGAAGCUUGGAAAAAUCUCUGUAAUAUUUUGCAGUGUAAAUGGUUGGUUCAGAUCCUUGUUUGUUUAUUUGUUUUUUAACUGCCAUGCAUUCCAAAUUCAGUUUUUUAGAAAUGAAAUUUUCAGUGCUUU
rnacentral:lncRNA from 1 species